rnacentral:rRNA from 1 species
AACGAACGCUGGCGGCAGGCCUAACACAUGCAAGUCGAGCGAGGUAGCAAUACCUAGCGGCGGACGGGUGAGUAACGCGUGGGAACGUGCCCCUUGGUACGGAAUAGCCCCGGGAAACUGGGAGUAAUACCGUAUGAGCUCUACGGGGGAAAGAUUUAUCGCCAAGGGAUCGGCCCGCGUUGGAUUAGGUAGUUGGUGGGGUAAUGGCCCACCAAGCCGACGAUCCAUAGCUGGUUUGAGAGGAUGAUCAGCCACACUGGGACUGAGACACGGCCCAGACUCCUACGGGAGGCAGCAGUGGGGAAUCUUAGACAAUGGGCGCAAGCCUGAUCUAGCCAUGCCGCGUGAGCGAUGAAGGCCUUAGGGUUGUAAAGCUCUUUCAGCUGGGAAGAUAAUGACUGUACCAGCAGAAGAAGCCCCGGCUAACUCCGUGCCAGCCGCCGCCGUAACAC